CUUUCGUUUUUGCGGUUUAUAAAGCGCGAGUGAUUCAGCAUACAAUAGCGGUUUUGCCUCCUGACUACAGUCUGUGCGCUGGAUUUACCAAAACUUCGCCGGAAUCUUUCUGCAGAAUGCCGUAUGCUCAAGAUAGAAUCCAAAAGUCCAGAGGUCCAUAUGCAGAUGCGGGCAGCUAUGGAUGCGGAGCCUACGCUGGUAUGGGAGUGGGGCACGCGAGGGCCGAGUUCUGCGUGUUCGAGGCUGAAGCGAACGGGCCGAACGUGUCGGUGGGGGCCCAGGCGUCUCACGGGGUGAGCGCGAUGGCCGGCGCCGAAGUGGCCAGCGUUUCGGUGGGCGCUGGCCCGCUGAAGGUAAAGGCGGGCCUGGGGUUCAACACCGGAGGGAGUGUAGGUCCCGAUGGUGUGGAAGUGCUGUUCCUAGGCACCGGCAUAAGGCUCGGUUCAAAUCCAAAAGUAUCCAUGAUGGGAUCUUCGGCGGAAUGCUCCGUUAUGUGACUGUCUCUAAGAACGGUCUUCAUGACAUCACUUUGGUUGCGGUCAUUCAUGAUAUUAAAUUUAAUUCGAUUAAGCAUUACAGUAAUAGUGAACAUUCAUAAACAUUUCUGCACAAUGAAAGAAUAGAAACCAAAGUAAUGUUUUUGUAACCUCUUUUUAAUCUUAUGCUUGUCUAAAGAAUAUUGUUUGAGUGCAUUUCAUAUAUAUAUCAAAGUAAUGUUUUUGUAAUCUCCAUUUAACCUCCUGCUUAUCUGUUACCGAAUGUUCAUUUCAAAUUAAUAAAAAAAAAAAAAUAAUAAUAAUUUUUAUAAAUAAUAAUGUAUUUUUAAAAUUUAUUAGACCAUUUUAAGUUCUGUAUGGGACACCCCCCCCCCCAAUACAGGGGAAUAAAUCACAUGAAGAAGAAACCAUAAAGAAACGAGUGUGAAGAUAUUUAGGAACAUUGGGUCUCAUUCACAAAACAUGCGUACGAUCACAUUUUGAUCGUAAACUGCAUGUAAGAACGUUUCUGAGAACAUUUCGACAUUCAUCAUUUUAGCUGUAUUUGUUUGUGGCUGUUUCCUUAUUCAAAUCACAUGAAUGGGAUUGCGCAUUUAAAAUUUACUAACAGCCAGCAUUCAGUAUUGUUUUUUAGUAGGAACGUUUUUAAGAACAAAAGUAAAAAUAAUUUUAGAAACGUUCUGUGAAUGAGGCCCAUUGUGUUUCCAAAAAAAGUGACUAAUAAGACCUACCACGUAGCCAUUUACCCCUUUGGUGGGAGAGAACGUCAAAAAUAAUUCAUUAACACUCAUUAACAACAAUAAACAGCGUGCAAGGGCCUUCUGACAAUUACGAUAUAGUUCUGACUGGCAGUAUCGUAUAAUGGAUAAGGAGCUGGUCUUGUAACCUAACGGUUUGAUUCCUGAGUGGGACACUGCCGUUGUAUAUAUAUCCAGCUGUAUAAAUGGAUGCAGUGUAAAUACUUUGUAAAAGUUGUGUAAGUUGCUCGGGAUAAGAGCGUGUGCUAAAUGCCUGUAAUGUAAUGUAAUGCAGUUCAGUUUGCAUUUGAAUAAAAUUCCCGUUCUCCUAGGAGAGGAAAGGAAAUGAAAGACCCUGGCAGGACACUACAUUUCAGCCUGAGAAACAGAGAGUGAAAAAACUCAUUUCUUUUUAUAGUUUACAUGGUCAAAAUACUAUUAUUACUAUUUUACUUUACUUUUAUUUGACUCUCUAAUUGUAGCUGUAUUAAUUAUAUUCUAUGCAUUACCUGUACUGUUACACUGCUUGUUUCUUGCAAGUUUCUUGUUUGCUUUGGCAAUAUUUACCACGUGCAUUUCCUGCCAAUAAAGCACAUUGAAAAGAA